CUGUUAGCUGAUAAUAGGGAAGCUGGUGAGAAUCCAGCACAACUUCCAUUACUGUAUGUGAUUACAAGGCUUUCAUAACCAUUGAAGACUUAGGUCUUUGAGAAGGGAAAGCUGAGGCUAAAUCAUAAAGUCAGGAGACCUGCCAAGUAAUUUUA
rnacentral:ncRNA from 1 species